GUUUACUGCAAUGGUUCAGUUUUUUCACAGCAAUGGCGGAGCAUGGAACCCCGCAAAAGUUCCCCGAAGUUAGCUUUCGCUAACUUCCACUCAAUGUAAUUCUUAUGGAGCACACGGUCGGAGCAACACUUGAUCAAGGUGAUAUCAUCUUGCACAUAUUUGGGAACCUUCAGUAGGAGCAUAGUGUUGUGGAGCAUCAGUGAUGCUGCAGGCCAGGAGUACUGAGUGAACCAUAGUGAUACUGGAAACAUAGUAAGCAUGAUGGAAGCCUGCUGGAGCAUGCCAGAGCUUCCUUCUCCAGCACACCCACUGCGUUUGGAAGCUCCAUGAGGGAGGAACCAGUCUUUGUCCCUCCCUUCACUUGGUUUUUGCAUUGUUUAUCCUGUUAUGUGUUCUCUGUUUUUAAUUAAAACAAUCUUAAACUUC